UUUAAAAUUAAUUAAAAGCGACGGGCGAUAUGUAUGUAUUACUUUUAAAUAUUAAAUAUUUAAAUAUAUAAAUAUUUAAUUUUAAAUCCAAUUUCAUUUAAAUAUUAAAACUUAAAAUCCAUAUAUAAAUAAAUUUAAUGUAUUUCAUUUUUAAUCUUUUAUUUUAAAUAUAUUAUGAUUUGAAUUAAAUUAAUAAUAUAAUAUUUAUUAAUAUUUUACUAAAAUCAAUUAAACAACAAUAUAUAAUUUUAUUUAAUAAAAGUAUAUUAUAAUGUGUAUUAUCAAUUAAUAAACAAAAUCCUCUAAUUUUAAAUAAUACCACCAAAUUAUUUAAUUUUCAAAAAAAAUUUAAUAUUACUUAUUAAAAUAUUAUUAAACUAAUAUAAUA
rnacentral:rRNA from 1 species